GGCACGGUGGCCGAGUGGUUAAGGCGACAGAUUCGAAAUCUGUUGGAGUUCCUCCGCGUAGGUUCAAAUCCUGCCCGUGCUA